rnacentral:rRNA from 1 species
UACGGGGGGGGCAAGCGUUGUUCGGAAUUACUGGGCGUAAAGGGCUCGUAGGUGGCCAACUAAGUCAGACGUGAAAUCCCUCGGCUUAACCGGGGAACUGCGUCUGAUACUGGAUGGCUUGAGAUUGGGAGAGGGAUGCGGAAUUCCAGGUGUAGCGGUGAAAUGCGUAGAUAUCUGGAGGAACACCGGUGGCGAAGGCAGCCCCCUGGGUCAACACUGACGCUCAUGCACGAAAGCGUGGGGAGCAAACAGG